AGAGAGAGAGAGGACGAGAUGGAUCCAGAACAUCUUCCCCAAAUCAUUUCCUCUAGUGAAUUGACCGGUCACGACUCCCCUGUCCUCUCUCUUGCGUGCUAGUGCUCGCCGCUGCAGCCGCUCGCCCGUGACCCGAUCUGCCGGAGUCACGGGUCAUGCCGGUGGCCGGCACCCUGCUUCUCGUUCGUGCUCUUGACCGCCAGAGACUGAGCUCUCCCAGGGGCCGAAGCCAAGACCGCGUGCCUCGCGUGCAAUCUCGAGGAGAUCCUGGCUCGUGCGGAAGCAGGCGGUCAGCCAUGGCCGUCGCUGCAGCAACGGAGCCCGUGCUGGUCCGCCCGCUCGGCAGCUGAUGUGGAGGUGGUGGGAUUUGCGAAGCCCACGAGGGCGACCUCUGCCGAAUCUGGUGCCCACGCGUGGUAGUCGACGCGGCAGGACUUGCGGGGGAGCAGGUGAUUUUGGAGCUGGAGGUGGAUGGGGGGAUGGAGCGCCGUGGACUGUGCGAGGACACUGUCUGAUCCUGUGUGCCUACUGCCUAGCGUGAGCGACUUUCCUGGUGCGUAGCUAGAUGCACGGCGGGUGAACAUCUUCCUCAUGGAGUUGUAGACUCGUUUUGCUCUUUGUCCCUGACCGCAGAAGGUGCAUCGGAAAUAUGGUGAAAAUAAGGGCUAACAUAAGAUAGUGUCAAGGGGGGUUGACUAUCACCACCAGGCGGCAAUAAACUAUACCGCAAAUCAUGACAGAGGAAGGAAAUCCAUAUUCUUGUCAGUUAUUAACACUGUAUGUCUUUGUGUAUGACAUUUGGCUGGCAAACUCACAGUUCAUUAUGUCAAAUGAGAAAUGAGACAAAACACUCUUGUAGCUGACUGCAACAUGAGAAAUGAAACUAUUAGUCUUUCUA